ensembl:lncRNA
GUGGCUACAAAUGUGCUCUGCUCUAGCAGGCACAGGGGAUGAGGGAAAACAAGAGGCACAGCAUAAAAGAAUCCACAAAAGUGGUUUCUAGGGAUGUGUGCCCACCAAGUAGACCACUGCUUCUUAGAAAGAUAAGACAACAAAAGGGUCCCUGGUUGGGAAAAGCACAUGGCACAUUUUCUACCUCUUCUCCCAUGUGCAUCCCACGGAGCUCACUUGCAUUCCUCCCAUGGCAGACAAGGUUCUGCUUAUGUCAGUCUGUGACUCCUACAAGUCUUCUCACACUCCUCCCAUUCUUCCUGUCAUUUUUCAAAGAAUACUAAGGGCUGCCAGGGGGCGCCAUAAUGCACAGAGUACCUGGCCUCCAGUCAGAGAGAAUCAUAUUAGCCCAGUUCAAAACUGGCCUCAAACACUAUGGAAAAUGACUCAACAACAACAAUAAAGAAGAGUAACAUUCACUUCCAUUGCGGUACCACAAUAUGGCAAGACAUUUGUAACAAGACAUUUUACAUAGCUCUGAAAUACUAGGGCAACUUCAAACCAGCUCAACAGUUCUUUUCCAAAAGACUGAUGGGAGCAAGGACAUGAAUGAGACACCCACCAGGUGGCUGUGCUCAGUGCCACGGGAGGGAGACCUGACAUCCCCGAGAGCAUGAAUCCACAGAAAGCCCUACGACAAGCUGAUGGCUCAGACAGGGUGAGCACUGGGACCCCCCACUGGACUCUCACGACCAUAUGUCCAAUGCGAGGUUCUGGAGUUAGGGCACCAUCGAAUGAAGACAGGGCGCCUAUAACUCUACAACAGGGCAAACGCUGAAAAUGAACUUGUCCAAAUGGGAAUCUUCAAGACCAACAAUAUAAUCGAAUGACAAUCAAGCAACAAAAGUCCACACAAAAGGCCAACAUCCUUCAUGCAAUCAAACCACAUGGACUGACUGAGCACCGACUGUGUGUCAGGGGCCAAAGCAGUGGCUGUCCUCAAGAUGCUCCCAGUGCAGCCUGGGGAGAGACCGACAGACCACAAGGAUGCACACGGGACCCGGGACGGCGGCACUGCGGGGGAAGAGGAGUGGGAUACCAUUACAAACACCCCGAAACGGCAGCCCACACACCAGGGAGGACCAGGCGUGGGAUCCCCACCUCCCAGGGGACUCCUUUGGGCCACAGCUCUGGAGGGGGAGGCAGUGGGGGGCACGCCCACGUGGGAUCGCAACACCCCUCCCCCAGCCAUGAAGUUUCAGGUGCCCCUCACCCCCCCGAAACUCUUCUAAAGGAAGUCCUCCCCCACCAGCUAGCUCUCCUCUCCUCCCUCUGCGGCCCCACCCCCUUCGCCCCCCCCACUACCCCUCUGCCUCCAGCCCCACUCCGCCACCACCUCCGACGCCGCCGCGCUCCAGCCUCCAACCACGCGAUGACCUCGACUCGGACCCGGAGCCGGAGCUGGGCUUGGUCUCUUGUGCCCAUGGAGGAGGAGCCGCGCUGGGACUCAGGCAGCAGCACAGGAGGGGUGGGAGGAGGAGGAAGCCCCGCCCCCGUACCCCGCGGGGGAGGCCACUCCAGGUGGGCUCUGUGAGCUCCGCGCAGGGCUUGCCGCGUGCGGCCUGCUGGGAGUUGUAGUCGGCGGCCUUCCGUCCUGGCCUCAGUACAGAGGGGAAGUGGGAGAGAUGGGGGAAGGGAGGGAGGGACGCAGCCCCCUCCACUGUCCCUUGCUGGCUUCCCCAAGGGCCCGCCCUCGGUCAGCCCCACCACGAGCGCCAUAGACUAAGGAUGCCCAACAUGCGCCCCGGCUGCAGACAGAAAACUGAGGCACGAGCAGGCAGAGGGCCUGGACGGCAGUCCAUGGGCCAGAGGCAGGAGUCUCCCUUGCCGUUGGAUGGUUGGGGAAACUGAGGUCCGCCCCUCCCCAGUGGGGCCCUGCACAGAUUGAGGUCCUGCUGUGUACCAGCAACAGAGCUGCCAUUCUCAGCAGACCGUACCCACGGGAGAGGUGGCAGAAAAGACGGGGGGAGAUGGCCUUCCAGUGGGAGGCAUGGUUAGGCAUGGCUUGGAGAUGGGAGCACACCCAAGUAGGGAACAUGGAAGGGUGGGGUGGUGCCAAGCCAUUGCACCCCAACAUUAGCUGCAGGAAGUCAUAGAGCCAGAGCACUUCUUCCCCUUCUGUACCCUACCCAAGGCCACUGUGACCUCAGCUGUGACUGGGCUGGCAUUCAUUCCCCGACUUGGUGCCUCAGUUUCCUCAUUGGCAAAAUGGUGCACUAAGUUCAGUUCCACCUGCAACAAAUCUCUAGGCUUCAUGGCCUCUGACUCCCGGGGUGCCCUGCCUAACUGUAACCCUAACUCUAACCCUAACUGUAACCCUAACCUUAUUGUGCUCUAACGCUAAACCUAACCUUAACCCUAAUACUAACCCUAACCCUAAUAGCUCUUCAGCCCUGACCCUAACCUUAACCGUAAUUGCUUUCUGAUCCUAACCCUAACCCUAACACUAACCCGAAUCCUAAUUCCAUUCUAACCCUAAUCGUAACCCUAACCUUAUUGCGCUCUAACCCUAAACCUAACACUAACCCUAACGCUAACCAUAACACUGACACUAAGCCAAACUGUAAUUUCACUCUACCCCUAAACAUAAACCUAAACCUAACCCUAAUGCUAACCCUAAUUGCUCUGUAAUCCCAACCCUAAGCCUAAUCCUAACAUUAACCUUAAUCCUAAUUGGGCUCUAUUCCUAUACCUAACACAAACCCCAUUGCUAACCCUAAUGCUAACUCUAAUUGCACUCUACCCCUAAACAGAAACCUAAACCUAUCACUAACCCUAAAUACACUCUAAUCCUAACCCUAACCCUAAUCCUAAUUGAGCUCUAAUCUUAUACCUAAUGCUAAAAGUAACAGUUAUCCUAACCCUUACCUUAACACUAAAAAUAACCCUAAACCUAACCCUAAACCUAACACUGACCUUAACCCUAAUCUGAACCCUAAACCUAAUUCCACUUUAAUCCUAACUCUCACCAUAACACUAAUUACGCUCUAACCUGAAACUUAACACUAACCCUAAACCUAACAGACAAUAAAUCUAACCCUAAUUGGGCUUUAUUCCUAUAC